GACACUUUCAAGAGUUAAAGUCUAGUGCAAGAAACAAUCGCACUUGGAAAUCAUAACUGAGAAAAAUGGUAUGAAGAAACACAUAGUGCCAUGAGAAUUCAUAGUUCAGAACCCUAGUCCCGAAAGUCUUCCUAAAGGAAGUGACAUCUGAGAACUGAGAAUUUUUUUUUAUACAGCAGGUUCUUAUUAGUUAUCUAUUUUAUACACAUCAGUGUAUACAUGUCAAUCCCAAUCUCCCAAUUCAUCCCACCGCACCCCGCACCCCCGCUUCCCCCCUUGGUGUCCAUACGUUUGUUCUCUACAUCUGUGUCUCUUUUUCUGCCUUGCAAACCGUGAGAACUAAGAAUUUAACGUGGAUUAGAUAAAAGGGAAGUGAAGAGCUUCGUAACAUGUAAACGGUAACAAUAUGGCAGAAAUUCGGGGGCCAGAGAGAUGAUAUCAACUUACAUCCCAGUUUGCCAAGGAUAGGCCUUUUUUUACUUUCAGAAGUGUUCUGGUUUGGAUGAUAAAUUACAUUGUCACUCUAUAAGGGACUAAAAGAAGUACAGUACUGCUGGAGCAACAACUGAGGAAGAUGAAGCUGCAUGAUGGCCAGACCAUUCAGGGCCCAAAGACCAGUGAGCCGGUGUAACAGGUGGCGUGCGCCCUGAGCAGCAAGAGUGGCACUUCCAAGCUCCUUCCCUGGGGUACUACACUCAGCCUCUCAGCAUCAAGCCAUCAUGCUUUGAACUGUGUCUGUGAGCAUCAGUGCUUUAUCUCCAUUUAUUUUGUGCAUCCAUUGGCAAGAUGUGUCCUAAGGUAAGGAAACUGAGAAGCUUGACUAAAAAUAAGUGCUGAAGCACUGAAGCUAAAAUUUUUUUUUUUUUAUCUUUCUCUCUCUUUUUCUUUUUGGAAGCUAAAAUAAAACCUGGGCAGUUUGAAUCCAGUCUGUGUUUUCAUGAAGUGCUGCUAUAUCAGCAGCACAUGUAUAAUAGCUGCCUUGGUUCCUGAUAGCUUUCCAGUUCCUGAGUUCAGUCCCUUGAGAAGGGCAGUCUGCUCCCUAUCUUUGAAUUAUUUAUCAUAAUUUAUCCUUAUAAUAAAAUUUCAUGUCUUUGCCUAAGUGGAUCAGCCAAUUGCAACUGAAAAUGUCCUGCUCUAGUUUGACUAUGAAUGGGAAUGCAAAUAACAAAGCUCAGAGAAACUAAAACUGACUGAAUCGAGGUGGGGCUGCUGGCAAUAAAGACUUUCCUACCUUAAGAUGGGAACCUGUUAGCUUCUGUUGUGCAAUAGUGAAUCUUUUACCCAGGCUUUCUCCAAUAUUGUCUCAGAACUCAGACUAAUGUAGUCACUGAGGUAGGGCCUAGAGAUCUUGGUAGCCAAAUAUAAAAAAUAUUGAGUGCAUUGGUUUCUGUGUGGAGUUAUGAAAAGUAUGUUGGAAAAGAGGAAUUCUAAACAGAGUUCCUAGGUGAAAGUAGAUUGGAACGGGUUGUGCCAGAUUUAGCAAAUUUGAUUUAGCAAUUAUUGGAAGCCAAUUUGCCUUUGGGCUGAGAAUAUACAACUAGAUGAAGAGAUUACUCAAGGGGCUCAUUGAAUGGCAACAUAAUUUUUUUUUUUGCCACCUGUUUCUAACUCUAAAGUUUUGACAUUGAAUACCAGAAAGUGAAAUUUUAGUAAUAGGAAUAGGACUCUCAAGGAAGAACAAAUGAUAUUAAGGACUCUUAAUUCCUCAGCUCCUUCCAAAACAUUUUCCACUUCCCAUCCCCUCUCAUGCUUCACAAAAGUGUGAUGAUCCUUCACAUUGUCUAUCAAUAGCCACUAGGAUUAGAGUGCAGUAUGUGUCUGGGAAUAUUACUAAAUGGCAAACUGCAAACUGCCUUGCCUACUUUUUCUCUUGUUUGCUUUGAGGCUAAAGCAGAGAACAACGGGGAUGGACAGAGUCUCAACUGUUGCUAAUAAACAAGUCCAGAUUGACAACUUAAGGAGAAACCAGACCCACUAAAGUCUUCAGUGUUAGCUAAAUGGAAAAGGAAUCUGCCUAAAAGAAAAUUAGUAGGCUCUCCUCCACGGUAGAGCAGUUGCCUCCCAUAAAAUCCCAACGUAGACUCAGACCACAGACUAUCUCAACCCCUCAAGCACCUCCUGUUUUCCAGUAUGAAAGAAUCUGCACCAGCUAGAAGUGGGUAUCCUUUCCCAAAAUGAAGAACCUUAGUGUCCCCUGUCAAGAGUGGCCCUGGAGGACUCUGUACAAGAGAAUCCAAACUGGAUAUAGACAGAUUUUCUAAUAACUCACUAGGAAGUUGGUCACUUAACUCAUGCCUUAUGAGAUUUCAAGGGCCAUUAUUUACUAUCCCACUCCUGGUGGGUACAAUAUAUACUUUAGCGAGCUGGUUAAAUUUAUAUUUAGUCCACAGAUUGCAGAAUUAAUCCAAGUAUUUCUUUUAUGGGCUUUAUAUACCUAUCCUAGGGCUAGUUACAUUCAAAAUAGUGUUAAGAUGGACAAGGGGUUUUCUUACUUGGAAUUGACAUUCUAGUUUGGGGAAGGAGGAGAAGAGAGAGAGAUGAAUGAGGAAAUAAGCUUACAAGCUGGGAUGGGCUCUAUAAAGGAGAGACAGAUAGUGCAAUGUCAGAGAGAGUAAAGAGACAUACUCGGAUGGGAAGAGCAGUGGGGUGGUCAGAGGAGGCCUCUUUGAGCUAUAACUGGAAGAGUGAGGUAGAGCCUGCUGUGGCAAGAACCACAAGAAGAGUAGGAAGGAGAGCAAGUGCAAAGACCCCCUAAAGUUAGAAAGGGUUUGUUACGUGUGAAGAACUGAAGGCGACAAAUAUAGCUGAAGCAUAGCGAGGGGGAAGCUGGGUUGACAUGAGAUUGAAGAGAUGGCCAAGGAACCUCCUUUGAUCUAGAGCCUUGAGGGCUAUGGAAAGCAUUUGGGGUUUAAUUCCAAACACAGCAGGAUGCCAUUGGAAGUUUUUACACCAGAGAAUUGCAUAAUCUGAUUUGCCUUCCAUAAGAUUGUUCUAGCUGCUGUGUAGAAAAUGGAUAGUAGUAGUAGCAAGAGUGGCUCUCCACUCUCUAGCUCUCCACUUAGGGACCUACUUUAGUGUAUAAUGGCCUGUUAGGAUUAAAGGAGUAGCUUUAGAGAUGUAGACAAGAUGGAAUCAAGAUAAAUUGGGGAUGUUACAGUAACGUUUGAGUUGAGGUCCUCAUUUGCCAUUCAUUAGUAUCUAAAUAUGUUAAUUGAUAAAAAGCAAUACAAACAUUUGGAAAUGUGGAGACAUAUCAAAGAGCUAGAAAUGCUGAAGAUAGUUGGGAGUGGAGAGGGGUGGGGGAGAGAGUGCUAUUUUUUUGUUAUAAAUAUUCAAUAUCAUUUUCUUAUAAAAAUUGUAUAUAUAUGUGUAAAUGUGUUUAUGUGUAACCUUUGCUGUGAAAAGUUCAGAGAGGUGUCGUGAUAGAUGGAGGAAGUCAGGAUUAUUUUUAAGUAGGAAAUACUAAUGUAUGUGGGCAGAAUAAUAA